GCCUCUUGGUCUGGGACAACUGUUGGAAACGACAGCUAAUACCAGAUAUUAUGAGAUUCUCGCAUGAGAAACUUAUGAAAGCUAUAUGCGCCAAGAGAGAGCCUUGCGUUCCAUUAGCUAGUUGGUGGGGUAACGGCCCACCAAGGCGACGAUGGAUAGCCGGCCUGAGAGGGUGAACGGCCACAAGGGGACUGAGACACGGCCCUUACUCCUACGGGAGGCAGCAGUGGGGAAUAUUGGACAAUGGGCCACAAGCCUGAUCCAGCAAUUCUGUGUGCACGAUGAAGGUCUUCGGAUUGUAAAGUGCUUUCAGUUGGGAAGAAGAAAGUGACGGUACCAACAGAAGAAGCGACGGCUAAAUACGUGCCAGCAGCCGCGGUAAUACGUAUGUCGCAAGCGUUAUCCGGAUUUAUUGGGCGUAAAGCGCGUCUAGGCGGAAAAAUAAGUCUGAUGUUAAAAUGCGGGGCUCAACUCCGUAUUGCGUUGGAAACUGUUUUUCUAGAGUACUGGAGAGGUGGGCGGAACUACAAGUGUAGAGGUGAAAUUCGUAGAUAUUUGUAGGA
rnacentral:rRNA from 1 species